UCCGGAGGGUGCGAGCGUUGUCCGGAAUCACUGGGCGUAAAGGGCGCGUAGGCGGCGCGGGGAGUCAACGGUGAAAGCUCGGCGCUCAACGCCGAGUCGGCCGUCGAUACUCCCGUGCUCGAGCACUGUAGAGGCAGGUGGAAUUCCGGGUGUAGCGGUGGAAUGCGUAGAGAUCCGGAAGAACACCGGUGGCGAAGGCGGCCUGCUGGGCAGUAGCUGACGCUGAGGCGCGACAGCGUGGGGAGCAAACAGG
rnacentral:rRNA from 1 species